rnacentral:rRNA from 1 species
CCUACGGGAGGCAGCAGUGAGGAAUAUUGGUCAAUGGACGCAAGUCUGAACCAGCCAUGCCGCGUGCAGGAAGACGGCUCUAUGAGUUGUAAACUGCUUUUGUACGAGGGUAAACGCAGAUACGCGUAUCUUUCUGAAAGUAUCGUACGAAUAAGGAUCGGCUAACUCCGUGCCAGCAGCCGCCGUAAUACGGAGGAUUCAAGCGUUAUCCGGAGUUAUUGGGUUUAAAGGGUGCGUAGGCGGUCGGAUAAGUUAGAGGUGAAAUCCCGAGGCUCAACUUCGGAAUUGCCUCUGAUACUGUUCGGCUAGAGAGUAGUUGCGGUAGGCGGAAUGUAUGGUGUAGCGGUGAAAUGCUUAGAGAUCAUACAGAACACCGAUUGCGAAGGCAGCUUACCAGGCUACUUCUGACGUUGAGGCACGAAAGCGUGGGCAGCAAACAGGAUUAGAUACCCCAGUAGUC